AGCAGCCACGGUAAUUCCAGCUCCAAUAGCGUAUAUUAAAGUUGUUGCAGUUAAAAAAGCUCGUAGUUGAAUUUCGGGAUUAGUACGUUGGUCGUGCCUUCGGUACGUACUGGUGUUACUGAUUCCUACCUUCUGACGAACCAUCAUGUCAUUAAUUUGGUGUGGUGGGGAAUCAGGACUGUUACUUUGAAAAAAUUAGAGUGUUUAAAGCAGGCUCGCGCUUGAAUACAUUAGCAUGGAAUAAUGAAAUAGGACGUUGAUCCUAUUUUGUUGGUUUUCUAGGAUUGACGUAAUGAUUAAUAGGGAUAGUUGGGGGCGAUUAGUAUUCAAUUGUCAGAGGUGAAAUUCUUGGUAUUUAUUGAAGACUAACUACUGCGAAAGCAUUUGCCAAGGAUGUUUUCAUUAAUCAAGAACGAAAGUUAGGGGAUCGAAGACGAUCAGAUACCGUCGUAGUCUUAACCAUAAACUAUGCCGACUAGGGAUCGGAUGAUGUUAUUUUUAAUUGUACUCAUUCGGCGCC
rnacentral:rRNA from 1 species